AGCGAACGCUGGCGGCGUGCCUAACACAUGCAAGUCGAACGCGCAGUUUUCUCCGCCGCAAGGCGGAGGGAAUGGGCGCGUGGCGAACGGGUGCGUAACACGUGGGCAACCUUCCCUCAAGUGUGGGAUAACCCGCCGAAAGGCGGGCUAAUACCUCAUAACAUUCCGGCGGCUUAUGCCGCGGGAAUCAAAGCCCGCAAGGGCGCUGGAGGAGUGGCCCGCGGCCGAUUAGCUUGUUGGCGAGGUAACGGCUCACCAAGGCAAUGAUCGGUAGCCG
rnacentral:rRNA from 1 species